rnacentral:rRNA from 1 species
GGUUGCGAUCAUACCAGCACUAAUGCACCGGAUCCCAUCAGAACUCCGCAGUUAAGCGUGCUUGGGCGAGAGUAGUACUGGAUGGUGACCCCCUGGGAAGUCCUCGUGUUGCAACCC